CUGUAGUGUUAGACUCACUGACCACAUGUGAAAUCAAACAUGAGAUCUAGACUAAGAAACAGAAGGCACUAAAGAAAUCUGGUAAAGAAAACCAACCUAGCAACCAAAAUGGAUUCAUGAAGAUUCCUAGAAAAGAGGAAAACAAUCACUCUAGAACUGUUAUAAGCAUGCUAACCAGGACUUCAGAGAAAUGAAAAAAAGGCUGAGCCUCGAUGGUGAUUCAGAUGGAUCAUGAGGAUCUUUCAACAAAGCUAAGUUCCCGUCUUUUAACGCAGUUAUUCUCAUACUUUUAUACUGAAAUAUCCAGAAUUGCAAACGAGUUAAAUAUGUUUUCUGUGGGGUUCUGUACGAAGAGGAUUUAGAGACUUAUGAACCUAAAAUAACAUAUCAGAAGGACAAAAUUUAUUUGAAGCGGGAGACUUGGCUCAAAAGCAUCUAAUAUAAAUUGUAUAUUAUAUUCAAUAAUACAAAAGCAAUGCUUUAUUUAGAAUGAAUUAAAAUGCAUGCUUCAGACAAAUGCAUGAUGUUUAGCUUUUGAUUUACCGAAUAUACUAUUCAACAGAUGUUUGAGUUACAUAGUUUGAGAAACACAGGUCUUUGGUAUUGAUGGCUCCUGUUAAAAUAAAAACAUGUUUUCUGAGAACAUAAUCAUAUGAAACCAGGAGCACGUAUUAACAUAAAACUCAAAUCACUUCCCCUGACUUUCUUCUUUCAAAUGUAAAGAAAGUGGGAAACAGGACAGAUGAAUUUGAAGAAACAGACGAGCUCAGGAAAGUUCAAAGCAUGAAGCAAACUCAAAAGUGUAUCUAAAUACCUAGGGAGCACCUUCAAAGCACAAGGUACCUGAAGAUGAAACAGCAGAAGUGAAAAGAAUUGCUCCUGUAGUAUAGGGCUAAAAUUGUACCUGAAGCAUCUCUGCUACUAUCCCAGGAAAAGAAGAGUCAACAGUAGCUAUGGUAAAAAUUCAUGGAAGCAUCAGGGAAAACAGAAAUUUAGAGAAGCAGAUAGAGUGAACCCAAGGCAAGAUAAGGGUUUCUGGGUCUGAAUUUCAGAAAAGCCUGACUAUGGAGAGUGGGAGUUCCUGUUUUCUUUCAGUGACUUGCUAAUUUCAAUUUUGUGUGUGUGGCAUUAACAGAUUUUUGCCUAACUUGGGACAUUUUUAACAGUAGAGGAACUCUUCUGUCAGUUCUGACAUGAUAAUUUUAAAAUACAUAUUCUUUAACUGAACAUUCAUUAAGUCACUUGGCCAGGAAUCCAAAUAACAAAAUGUCUAUUAUGGAAUUCUCUGUGUAAUAGAAGUUAUGUAACUUGUUUCUUCUCAGUAGAGAGAAUAAAAAGUAAAGUCAAAACCACCCCCAGAUGACCAUUUUUAGCACUUUCAUUUUAUCGGGAGAGGUGAGCAACCUGCAGAAAAUAUAUAUUCUUGAAUUAAUCUCCUUUGGGUACAGAGAAAAAAGAGCUCAUUAUUCUUCUAACUGGCAACGUUUGAUUUUAUUGACACCCUAACAGUAUGUCAAUCGCUCAGUAUAUCUCCCUAGGCUGUAGUCUUGCAGACUUUCUUUUUUUCUUUUUUUUUUUUAACUUACCAAUUCUAUGAUGUAUUCCCAUGGAUGUCUCCUUUUAUGCUAUUUUACAAUCUAUUUCUAGAAUAAUAAUGGAAAUUUCAAUGGAAACAACAUAUCACAUUCUCUGUCUACUACAAAAGUAUGUCUUUUUUAUUUGUAAAUAGACCAUAUUUUGCACAUAAUUAGGUAAUACCCACAUAUAUUAAUUUGGUUUAGAAAUUAUACUGAAAGAUAGAAUUGCAUAAGGGUAGGGAUUUUACUUUUAAAUUAUUUUCAUGUCUCCAUGGACUGGCUCUGUGCUUUACACCCAGUAGCUGUGAAACAAGUACUUAUUUAAUGAUGAAUGAAUAAAUAAAUAAAUAGUUAAAUGCAGCAACAACGAUGUUGGCAGAUAUAUAGGACUGUAGAAUUUAAUUGCUUGGUAGGGUCAUCAAAUUCUACCCAAAUUUGGUGUGGCAAACAGAACAAUGGUCCCUUAAAGAUGGCCUAGUCCUAACCUCCCAAACCUGGAAUAUGUUACCUUACAUAACAAAGAGACUUUGCAGAUGUAAUUAAGUUAAUGAUCUUGACACAGAAAUAUUAUUCUAAAUGAACUCAAUGAAAUUACAAUAAACAAUGUUCCUCAAAAGAGAAAGGCAAAAGUUCAGAAUAAAACACACAUACACACAUUAAGUGACUACGAAAGCAGAAGUAGUGAGAGAUUUGAAGAUGCUACCUUACUAGAUUCAAAGAUAGAGGAAGGGGUUGAGAUCUAAGGAAAUCAGGCAGCCUUUCGAAGCUGCAGAAGAUAAGGAAAUGAAUUCUCCCUAGAACUUCAGAUGGAAACAGCCCUACUGAUUCCUUGACAUUAACUCAGUGAAACACAUUUUCAGACUCUAACUUCCAGAUCUGUAAGAGAUAAAUUUGUGUUGUUUAAGCUACUACAUUUGUGGCAGUUUGUCAAAGUAGCAAAAGGAAGUAUAUAUUUGGUAGGCAUCAGAAUUUCCUGAGCAAUAUAGUGUGAUUACCUUUGAAAAUUCUACUCAGCAGUUCUGGAAUUGCAGCCUGAAAUUUGAAAUUUACUAAGUGCUCCCACUAUAUCUGAGUCAGGAAUUACCUAGGAAACCAUGAUAUAUUGCAUUACUCUAAUUUUGUACUUGAGAAAAAGCACAAUGUUAAAAUCUCAAGAACAUUAAUAUAGACUUAAGUACAAUUUAUCAUGUAAAAACAUAUUUGAAAAAGUAAGCCUGUAAAAAAGAAACAACUGAACUAUUAACACUAUAUUCUCUAACUAUAUAUUGAUUUUCUCCUUUUGCUUUUACACAGCGAAUCAUAUACACUUUCACAGAGGGUGAUUUGGAUAAUAUGUUCCAUGCAUUGCUCCAAGCAGAAAUUCUCAAUCUGUCAUUUCUGCUUGUAUUAUUUUACACCUCUCAAAGACAUUCACAUUUCAUCACAGGGAGCCAAAAUCAGCCUGUGUUAUAUCUCUGUUUGUGAAUACCACAAUACUUACUUUACUUUCUCCUGAAAAGAUUGUUAGUGGUUUUUAGUAUCUCCUGUAAAGAGUGUGAUAAAUGUAUGUUGCAAGGACACUUUUGUUUUGUUCACAUUAUUCUACUAAAUCAUGCUAACCAUAGCAUUACAUCUAUUUAUCUAUCUAGCUAUUAAACAUAUUCAGAAUACCUAACAACUUUAGGGGCAUUCAGUAUAUAGAAUAUGCUAGUAUUGGUUAUUUUUUAAAAAAUUAAUAAUUAAGAAUGUCCUUCUAUUAUUGCAUUAGUGACUUAGUUAAAAUUUAGGCCAUUAACAAAAAAGAGAUGAAAAAAAAAACAUUAGGCACUAAAGGAAUCCUCAGCAAUGGCUUUUUCAAAAUGAUACUUUGGCAUCAUAAAGCGGGUAUUUGGUAACCAUACUCUAUUACAGAACAGCAAAUGGAAUUUAUGUUCUAUUUUCCCAUAUCCACUUCUUUACUAUAAUUUAACAGUCAUUGUAAUUAUUACUAUAUAGUUAUUUCAAAUUUGGUAUGAUUCUGAAAGAUGCUCUGAUAGUAACAUUUUCUUUGGUGCCUCAUGUCACUCUUUCUCUCUCUCUUUCUUUAAAAAAUAAGGUGUCUUUACAGGAACAAAUUUCACUAUAGAUGCCUGAAUUUCUCCUUUCACAAUGAUUAUUGAAACUCAUUGAGAUCUGACACUCUGUGUUUCUUAUUUUUAUUCCGUACGUAGGAAAAAAUGAACUCAGAGACACCCAUGGUUAUAAGAGGCUGUGAUUGUCAGCUCUGCCCCUUCCUGUUGAAGAUUGAAGCCUUUAUGUUAUUGAAUACAUUGAAUAUAUUGCAAAUUGGAACCCCAUUAAUAGGAUUCUGAGAAGCCUUACUACUAGAUCUACUAGAUCUGGAUUCUAAGCCUCCUUGCUUGUAUGAUAGGUUAUUGUCUGAGACAUUAAGCAACUAGACCUAUGUUGGGACACUUGCUUCACAAUGUAAUAUGACGUAUUAAUAAUGAGGAAAGAAAAAUUGCCCUGCUUGUGCUAGUGAGGAUCUUGAGCACUCUCUAUUUUCUCUUCAGUCCUGCUUUAGUGGUUGCAGAAAAGAUUUUUUUUUUUUUGUCAGAUGUACAUGCAGUAGCAAAAAAUUGAAGCAUCUUUCUUCACUAAUGAGCUGCAAAAUUUAAGUUUGGGGCAGUCUCCAUGGAAACUUUUUAAUAUGGUGACCUACGAGUGCUAAAUGUGUAUGAGGUGACAAUUCCUUCCACAUGGAAGACUGUCACAGAUAGCAUAUGGUAGGACUUUAUGAAAGCCACUAAAAUUGUUUCUGCCUCAGUUUCCAUCACUAUAAAUGCAUAAUCAUAUAAUCUCCAGUCAUAAGGAUUACUGAGAUAAUCUUUAAAUUUGCAUUAAAUUCCUUGGAGAUAGGCAUUAUAUAAAUAGGAAGCUCUGUAUUAAAUGAACAAAAUUUCAAUGAAGAGUGGCUACACUUAAUGGAUACAAUGUGGUCUGAAAUUUAAGUAAUUGACCAGAAAUCAGGACUUGGGACCAAUUACUGGACAUCCAAUUUGUGUCAUUUGAGAGAAAUUGUAUAGAACAUUCUCUCUUCAUUUUCAACAUUUACUUAUUACAUGAAGUAGAUAAUUUAACACUAAAUAAGGCUAUAGUUACAUUUUCUCCAUGUGUCACUGCAGGCUGCAAAAAAAAGUAUUAUAUUAAAUUAAUAGUCAGAAUCUUUCCCCAAAUGAUGAUAAUUGGAUCUCUGAUUCAAAGGACACCAAAGAAAUGGCUAGAGAAAAUAUAGCUCUGUCCUCAGUAUAUAGUAUUUUUAAUAAUAAUCUAUAUUUUUAAAGUAUUACAUCAUGUUCACUCCUAGAAGGGAGAAAAGAGCUCAAAACAUAUCUGGUGGUGCAUCUGUAGUCCCAGCUACUUGGGAGAUUGAGGCAGGAGGAUCACUUUAGCCCAGGAGUUUAAGGCUGCAGUAAGCUAUGAUUGCACCUGUGAAUAGCUACUGUACUACAGCCUGGGCAACAUAGGAGGAUACUGUCUCUUAAAAAAGCAAAACAAAAUAUAUGACAUUUAGCUUACAAAUCCCAUGUAUUAAUGGUUCGUAUUUCUGUUAUUCAUGCUGACAUAAUUAUUGUGAAGUCUUUUUGCGUGUGAUAAGAAUCUAUAUUCAUACUCAAUAUCUAUUAAAUAUAUGGUACUCUGCUAGAGUAUUCUGAUGGACUCAGGGCAGAAAAAUGACUAAAACAACAGCUAUCUGAAUUUCUCUAUCUUAAUCAGUAUGCAUAGUGUUAACCUUAUAUAAGAAUGUCCCUAUAGUUAAUCAUUUGUGGUUUCAUUAAGCAGUAUUGAAGCUUUUGGAAGAAAUCACACAUACUGUGAUUUAAGGAAGCCUGGCAGUUACAAUAGAAAUAAGAAGCUGAUUCAUGUAGAAUGUCUUGAAAUUUUGUCACUGGUAAUUUUGGCAAGAACACUAUUAAUGUUAAGAUUUGUUUAUAACCACUGAGAACACAUAGACACAGGGAGGGGAACAUCACACACUAGGGCCUGUCAGGGGUUGGAGGACUAGGGGAGGGAUAGCAUUAGGAGAAAUACCUAAUGUAUAUGAUGAGUUGAUGGGUGCAGCAAACCACCAUGGCACCUGUAUACCUAUGUAACAAACCUGGAUGUUCUGUACAUGUAUUCCAAAACUUAAAGUAUAAUUUUAAAAAGUUUUUUUAAAGAUUUGUUUAUAAAAUGGCAAAUUGCUUAAUCAGGGGACUCCUCAUUCAGUUGAGAAGUAUGAGCUGUAAAGUAUGUUUUGCUGGAAAUAAACCUGUAAGCCGCUACAUAUAUAUUCUACAAACAGAGAGAAAUAAACGCAAACAUCAUUUACCUGGAGGACAGGUUGAGAAUGAGUUAUAGCCUAAUAUGAGAUACAAUACGAAACUAAAAAACAACAACAACAACAAAAACAGAAUGAGGAUGAUACAUGAUCCCAAAAUAGAAGUAAACAGUUUUUGGACAGAAAAGAUUCUGAAAAACUUGUGUCCCAGUGGUUCAUCCUUGAAUUGUAUCAUUGCCCCUACUCCUCCCUCAUACAUAUACCAUGUCCCUUUCAUGAUUCUGAGAAAUUUUGAAGAUCAGAGCCAAGGGGGUUCACAAAUGACACUAAGACCUUCAUGUUACCAAGAAUGAUUAGCAUAUCAGCCUGGAAAAGCACUUGCUACAGGUUAGGCAAAUUAGGGUUCCCCUAUAGCAGAUGAUUAAAGUAGACAGAAGGAAUAAAAUUAACAUAUUCUUCUUAUUAUUCUUACGUCUCAUCUGGCUAAAUAAAAGUCCUGAAAAUAUAUUUAUAACUAACCAUUAUGCAAGUUCUUUCAUCCCAAAAUAUUUUCUCCCUAUAUUAACUCUAUAUACUCCCCAUACGCACACACAUAUAUCCCCUAAACUUUUUAAACUAUUCUAAGUUAUAUGCUAGAAAUUAUGCUAGGCAUUUUACAAAUAUAA